rnacentral:rRNA from 1 species
GACGAACGCUGGCGGCGUGCCUAACACAUGCAAGUCGAACGGUAAGGCCCCUUCGGGGGUACACGAGUGGCGAACGGGUGAGUAACACGUGAGCAACCUGCCCCUGACUUUGGAAUAACAGUUGGAAACAGCUGCUAAUACCGGAUAUGACUCGGCCCUGCAUGGGGUUGGGUGGAAAGCUCCGGCGGUCAGGGAUGGGCUCGCGGCCUAUCAGCUAGUUGGUGAGGUAAUGGCUCACCAAGGCUUCGACGGGUAGCCGGCCUGAGAGGGCGACCGGCCACACUGGGACUGAGAUACGGCCCAGACUCCUACGGGAGGCAGCAGUGGGGAAUAUUGCACAAUGGGCGAAAGCCUGAUGCAGCAACGCCGCGUGCGGGAUGACGGCCUUCGGGUUGUAAACCGCUUUCACCCAUGACGAAGCGAGAGUGACGGUAGUGGGAGAAGAAGCACCGGCCAACUACGUGCCAGCAGCCGCGGUGAUACGUAGGGUGCGAGCGUUGUCCGGAAUUAUUGGGCGUAAAGGGCUUGUAGGCGGUCUGUCGCGUCGGAAGUGAAAACUCGAAGCUUAACUUCGAGCCUGCUUCCGAUACGGGCAGACUAGAGGGAUGCAGGGGAGAACGGAAUUCCUGGUGGAGCGGUGGAAUGCGCAGAUAUCAGGAGGAACACCGGUGGCGAAGGCGGUUCUCUGGGCAUUACCUGACGCUGAGAAGCGAAAGCGUGGGGAGCAAACAGGCUUAGAUACCCUGGUAGUCCACGCCGUAAACGGUGGGCACUAGGUGUGGGGGACAUUCCACGUUCUCCGUGCCGAAGCUAACGCAUUAAGUGCCCCGCCUGGGGAGUACGGCCGCAAGGCUAAAACUCAAAGGAAUUGACGGGGGCCCGCACAAGCGGCGGAGCAUGCGGAUUAAUUCGAUGCAACGCGAAGAACCUUACCUGGGUUUGACAUAUGCCGGAAAGCUGCAGAGAUGCAGCCCCCGCAAGGUCGGUUUACAGGUGGUGCAUGGCUGUCGUCAGCUCGUGUCGUGAGAUGUUGGGUUAAGUCCCGCAACGAGCGCAACCCUCGUUCUAUGUUGCCAGCACGUUAUGGUGGGGACUCAUAGGAGACUGCCGGGGUCAACUCGGAGGAAGGUGGGGAUGACGUCAAGUCAUCAUGCCCCUUAUGUCCAGGGCUUCACGCAUGCUACAAUGGCCGGUACAAAGGGCUGCGAGACCGUAAGGUUUAGCGAAUCCCAAAAAGCCGGUCUCAGUUCGGAUUGGGGUCUGCAACUCGACCCCAUAAAGUCGGAGUCGCUAGUAAUCGCAGAUCAGCAACGCUGCGGUGAAUACGUUCCCGGGCCU